AAGUGUUGACGACUCUAACGAAGGGAUUAUACCCGUAGCCGAUGAUGUUGACAAAAUUUACCCACGUAGUCCAGGAGUCCAUAUUACUCCCUCCGAACGGAUGAUACUUGAGACCGAUGGUGAUAGCACAUAUGAUACUCCAGGCCCGAUGGAGGGGCCAAAUGGUGACGACUCUAAUGAAGGGGUUAUACCUGGAGCCGACGAUGUUCA